rnacentral:pre_miRNA from 1 species
AGUGAAUGGUUGGGUCACAUGAUAAGUACAUGAUUCACUUCAUAAGAAUCUGCCAAACUGUCUUCUAAAGUGGCUGUUCCAUUUUGUAUUCCUACCAACAAU